AGCCACUGAUGAAAUUUGAUUCUGCCAAAUGAAUUACUGUGAUUACAAUUCCGUUCCUUUUUUCUCUGAGGUU
rnacentral:snoRNA from 1 species